GAUGGUUCACGGGUGACGCACGCUGGAAUCGGGCUCCCUCUUCUCUGGUUCCAGGUGCAUUACCAGAGAAACGCA
rfam:Myotis brandtii contig169365, whole genome shotgun sequence.